AACGAACGCUGGCGGCAGGCUUAACACAUGCAAGUCGAGCGCCCCGCCAGGGGAGCGGCAGACGGGUGAGUAACGCGUGGGAACGUACCCUUAUCUUCGGGAUAGCCCCGGGAUACUGGAAUUAAUACCGAAUGUGCCCUUUGGGGGAAUGAUUUAUCGGAUAAGGAUCGGCCCGCGUGGGAUUAGCUAGUUGGUGGGGUAAAGGCCUACCAAGGCGACGAUCCAUAGCUGGUCUGAGAAGAUGAUCAGCCACAUUGGGACUGAGACACGGCCCAAACUCCGACGGGAGGGAGCAGUGGGGAAUAUUGGACAAUGGGCGCAAGCCUGAUCCAGCCAUGCCGCGUGAGAGAUGAAGGCCUUAGGGUUGUAAAGCUCUUUCACCGGAGAAGAGAAUGACGGUAUCCGGAGAAGAAGCCCCGGCUAACUUCGUG
rnacentral:rRNA from 1 species